AUUGAACGCUGGCGGCAUGCCUAACACAUGCAAGUCGAACGGGGGUAGCGAUACCCUAGUGGCGGACGGGUGAGGAACGCGUAGGAAUUGGCCCACGAGUGGGGGACAACCUGGGGAAACCCAGGCUAAUACCGCAUACGCUCGCGAGAGGAAAGCGGGGGAUCUACGGACCUCGCGCUGGUGGACAAGCCUACGUCCGAUUAGCUAGUUGGCAGGGUAAAAGCCUACCAAGGCGACGAUCGGUAGCUGGUCUGAGAGGAUGAUCAGCCACACUGGGACUGAGACACGGCCCAGACUCCUACGGGAGGCAGCAGUGGGGAAUAUUGGACAAUGGGCGCAAGCCUGAUCCAGCAAUGCCGCGUGGGGUGAAGACGGCCUGCGGGUUGUAAAGCCCUUUAAGCGGGGAGGAACGCCGGAACGCGAAUACCGUUUCGGACUGACGUUACCCGCAGAAUAAGCACCGGCUAAACUCCGUGCCCAGCAGCCGCGGUAAU
rnacentral:rRNA from 1 species